UGGCCAGACUCCACGGGAGGCAGCAGUGAGGAAUAUUGGUCAAUGGUCGGGAGACUGAACCAGCCAAGCCGCGUGAGGGAUGAAGGUACAGAGUAUCGUAAACCUCUUUUGUCAGGGAACAAAGGCGGGGACGCGUCCCCGGAUGAGUGUACCUGAAGAAAAAGCAUCGGCUAACUCCGUGCCAGCAGCCGCGGUAAUACGGAGGAUCCGAGCGUUAUCCGGAUUUAUUGGGUUUAAAGGGAGCGUAGAUGGGUUGUUAAGUCAGUUGUGAAAGUUUGCGGCUCAACCGUAAAAUUGCAAUUGAUACUGGCAGUCUUGAGUACAGUUGAGGUAGGCGGAAUUCGUGGUGUAGCGGUGAAAUGCUUAGAUAUCACGAAGAACUCCGAUUGCGAAGGCAGCUUACUAAACUGCCACUGACAUUGAUGCUCGAAAGUGUGGGUAUCAAACAGGAUUAGAUACCCUUGUAAA
rnacentral:rRNA from 1 species